GGCACAGAUUAGUACUUCCCUCUUUUUUAUGGCUGCUAGUAUUCCAUUAUGUAAAUGUACCACA